AUUGAACGCUGGCGGCAUGCUUUACACAUGCAAGUCGAACGGUAACAGGGUGCUUGCACCGCUGACGAGUGGCGAACGGGUGAGUAAUGCGUCGGAACGUGCCGAGUAGUGGGGGAUAACGCAGCGAAAGUUGUGCUAAUACCGCAUACGUACUGAGGUAGAAAGUGGGGGACCUUCGGGCCUCACGCUAUUCGAGCGGCCGACGUCUGAUUAGCUAGUAGGUGAGGUAAAGGCUCACCUAGGCGACGAUCAGUAGCGGGUCUGAGAGGAUGAUCCGCCACACUGGGACUGAGACACGUCCCAGACUCCUACGGGAGGCAGCAGUGGGGAAUUUUGGACGAUGGGCGAAAGCCCGAUCCAGCCAUGCCGCGUGUCUGAAGAAGGCCUUCGGGUUGUAAAGGACUUUUGUCAGGGAGGAAAUCCCUAGUGCUAAUAACACUGGGGGAUGACAGUACCUGAAGAAUAAGCACCGGCUAACUACGUGCCAGCAGCCGCCGUAACAC
rnacentral:rRNA from 1 species